ACCACUGCGGGCUUAUGGAAACACCGGUUCUCUUGCGAUCACCGAAGUUAAAUAAUGCCGAGCUUGGUUAGUACCUAAAUAAGUGACCGAUUUGGAAUACCAGGUGCU